rnacentral:rRNA from 1 species
GACGAACGCUGGCGGCGUGCUUAACACAUGCAAGUCGAACGGAAAGGCCCAGCUUGCUGGGUGCUCAAGUGGCGAACGGGUGAGUAACACGUGGGUGAUCUGCCUCUAACUUCGGGAUAAGCUUGGGAAACUGGGUCUAAUACCGGAUAGGACAAUCGUUUAGUGUCGGUUGUGGAAAGUUUUUUCGGUUAGGGAUGAGCCCGCGGCCUAUCAGCUUGUUGGUGGGGUAAUGGCCUACCAAGGCGUCGACGGGUAGCCGGCCUGAGAGGGUGGACGGCCACAUUGGGACUGAGAUACGGCCCAGACUCCUACGGGAGGCAGCAGUGGGGAAUAUUGCACAAUGGGCGCAAGCCUGAUGCAGCGACGCCGCGUGGGGGAUGACGGCCUUCGGGUUGUAAACCUCUUUCGACAGGGACGAAGCUUUGGUGACGGUACCUGUAUAAGAAGCACCGGCUAACUACGUG